GCAGGCUCUGUGUGGUGUGCUCCAGGUCCUCAGCUUUGUGAGCUGUCACCCACACUGGGGUGGCCUUUGGUGAUACAGCUGUCUUUGAGUCAUUUCUGCUCCUGUUAACCAGAUAUAGGACUCCUCUGUCUUGCUACGAUGGACAGCCACAAGGAUUCACUUGAAUAAAAGAAGCAACAGUGGGUGCCAGGCUGUUUGCGGACCUGGGUUUGGUGUCUAACAUCCAUGUGGUGGCUCACAUCCAUCAGUAACUCCAUUCGAGGAGAUCCAAUACCCUCUACUGCCCUCCUCUAGUACCACACAGUGCUGUGGAUUGAAUGGCGGGCCUUGCACAGAAAUGUGCUGUUUUGUUAUACAUUUAUUACAAAGAAUCUCACAAAAAGAAAAUAUUUCAAAAAGAAUGCCAGGCUAAAGAACCUCCACCUGGAGAACUGGGGGAAGGCAGGGCAAUGUAAGUUCUUCUGCCUGCCCAAGACCUGUGGAAGAUAUAAACAGAACCAGUCUAAAAAUGGCUGAUAUUACCCAAGCCUGAAAAGGGCUCACAGAACACCAAGUCACCCCUGCUAGAAAGCUUAAUCAGGGCAUCUUAACAGAGCUCCUAAGCAGGCUUGGCAGUUCAGGAUUUUGUCUUCUGGUUGUUUUCUUUUCCACUUAGAAUAUCAACGUCAACAUACAGCACCCUCUGGCCAUACUUUAGCAGUUCCAGGAUGGCCAA
rnacentral:lncRNA from 1 species